GCCAUGGAGCCCGACGGGACUUACGAGCCGGGCUUCGUGGGUAUUCGCUUCUGCCAGGAAUGGUGAGGCGGAGGGAGCGGGUGAUGUUAGAAGGCGGGCGAGGAAUGGCUCCAGAACUAACCCCUGGCACCUCCCCCUCCCCACAGUAACAACAUGCUGUACCCCAAGGAAGACAAGGAGAACCGCAUUCUGCUCUACGCGGUGAGCGCCGGGGUCUUCCCCGGCAGGUCCACCUGUUCCCAGCGUGGCCCCGCCCUGCCCCCUGCCUCUGUGAUCGGACUCCCUGUUCGCCCUCCGCUGCACCUCAAGUGAUCCUGACUCUCAUGUCCUGCCCAUCCCCAAAGAGAGUCCUGUCGUCAUAUCCUCCGGGAUCACCCUGCCCUCUCCUCCCAAUCUUGUCUGGAAUCCUUCCGUGACCCCCUUUCCCCCACACUCGCCCUCUCGUAGUGCCGGAACUGUGAUUACCAGCAGGAGGCCGACAACAGCUGCAUCUAUGUCAACAAGAUCACGCACGAAGUGGACGAACUGACCCAGAUUAUCGCCGACGUGUCCCAGGACCCCACGUUGCCGCGGACCGAGGAC
rnacentral:lncRNA from 1 species